rnacentral:tRNA from 1 species
GCGGUCGUGGCGAAGGGGUUAACGCACCAGUCUGUGGCUCUGGCACUCGCGGGUUCAAGUCCCGUCGAUCGCCCCA